GACGAACGCUGGCGGCGUGCUUAACACAUGCAAGUCGAACGGAAAGGCCUCUUUCGGGGGGUACUCGAGUGGCGAACGGGUGAGUAACACGUGAGUAACCUGCCCUUGACUUUGGGAUAACUUCAGGAAACUGGGGCUAAUACCGGAUAGGAGCUCCUGCUGCAUGGUGGGGGUUGGAAAGUUUCGGCGGUUGGGGAUGGACUCGCGGCUUAUCAGCUUGUUGGUGGGGUAGUGGCUUACCAAGGCUUUGACGGGUAGCCGGCCUGAGAGGGUGACCGGCCACAUUGGGACUGAGAUACGGCCCAGACUCCUACGGGAGGCAGCAGUGGGGAAUAUUGCACAAUGGGUGGAACCCUGAUGCAGCAACGCCGUGUGCGGAUGACGGCCUUCGGGUUGUAAACCGCUUUCGCUCAUGACGAAGCUUUGUGUGACGGUAGUGGGUAAAGAAGCACCGGCUAACUACGUG
rnacentral:rRNA from 1 species